rnacentral:tRNA from 4 species
GAGAAAGACAUAGUGGUUAUGAAAUUGGCUUGAAACCAGUUGUGGGGGGUUCGAAUCCUUCCUUUCUUA